AUUGAACGCUGGCGGCAUGCCUUACACAUGCAAGUCGAACGGUAACAGGUCUUCGGAUGCUGACGAGUGGCGAACGGGUGAGUAACGCAUCGGAACGUGCCCAGUAGUGGGGGAUAGCCCGGCGAAAGCCGGAUUAAUACCGCAUACGACCUGAGGGUGAAAGGGGGGGAUCGCAAGACCUCUCGCUAUUGGAGCGGCCGAUGUCAGAUUAGCUAGUUGGUGGGUAAAGGCCUACCAAGGCAACGAUCUGUAGUUGGUCUGAGAGGACGACCAGCCACACUGGGACUGAGACACGGCCCAGACUCCUACGGGAGGCAGCAGUGGGGAAUUUUGGACAAUGGGCGCAAGCCUGAUCCAGCAAUGCCGCGUGCAGGAAGAAGGCCUUCGGGUUGUAAACUGCUUUUGUCAGGGAAGAAAUCUUCUGGGUUAAUACCUCGGGAGGAUGACGGUACCUGAAGAAUAAGCACCGGCUAACUACGUGCCAGCCGCCGCGGUAAGAC
rnacentral:rRNA from 1 species